CCCUUAGAUGUCCGGGGCCGCACGCGCGCUACACUGAAGGAAUCAGCGUGGCUUUCUCCCUGACCCGAAAGGGUUGGGAAACCCGUUGAAUCUCCUUCGUGAUAGGGAUUGGGGCUUGAAAUUGUUCCCCAUGAACGAGGAAUUCCCAGUAAGCGCAAGUCAUAAGCUCGCGUUGAUUACGUCCCUGCCCUUUGUACACACCGCCCGUCGCUACUACUGAUUGGGUGUUCAAGUGAGAUGCUUAGACCCUUGUUGCAUGGUUCAUUAUUGUGCUCCGAAAGGAAAAAGUUUCAAGCUUGAGUGUCUAGAGGAAGUAAAAGUCGUAACA
rnacentral:rRNA from 1 species